CCUACGGGAGGCAGCAGUGAGGAAUAUUGAUCAAUGGGCGCGAGCCUGAACCAGCCAAGUCGCGUGAGGGAGGACGGCCCUACGGGUUGUAAACCUCUUUUGCCGGGGAGCAACGGGCGUCACGUGUGGCGCCACUGAGAGUACCCGGAGAAAAAGCAUCGGCUAACUCCGUGCCAGCAGCCGCGGUAAUACGGAGGAUGCGAGCGUUAUCCGGAUUUAUUGGGGUUAAAGGGUGCGUAGGCGGCUCGUUAAGUCAGUGGUCAAAUUGAGGGGCUCAACACCUUCCCGCCAUUGAAACUGGCGUUCUUGAGUGGAAGAGAAGUAUGCGGAAUGCGUGGUGUAGCGGUGAAAUGCAUAGAUAUCACGCAGAACCCCGAUUGCGAAGGCAGCAUGCCGGCUUCCGACUGACGCUGAAGCACGAAAGCGUGGGGAUCGAACAGGAUUAGAUACCCCUGUAGUC
rnacentral:rRNA from 1 species